rnacentral:rRNA from 1 species
UAGGGAAUAUUGGACAAUGGGUGAGAGCCUGAUCCAGCCAUGCCGCGUGCAGGAAGAAGGCGUUAUGCGUUGUAAACUGCUUUUGCCAGGGGAUAAAAAGACCGUGCGCGGUUAAUUGAAGGUACCUGGUGAAUAAGCCACGGCUAACUACGUGCCAGCAGCCGCGGUAAUACGUAGGUGGCAAGCGUUGUCCGGAUUUAUUGGGUUUAAAGGGUGCGUAGGUGGCCCUGUAAGUCAGUGGUGAAAUAUCUCAGCUUAACUGAGAGGGUGCCAUUGAUACUGCAGGGCUUGAGUACAGAUGAGGUAGGCGGAAUUGACGGUGUAGCGGUGAAACGCAUAGAUAUCGUCAAGAACACCGAUAGCGAAGGCAGCUUACCAAGCUGUAACUGACACUGAGGCACGAAAGUGUGGGGAUCAAACAGGAUUAGAUACCCCCGUAGUCCCUGAGCGGGCUGGCAAGGCGCAU